rnacentral:rRNA from 1 species
UACGUAGGGUGCGAGCGUUAAUCGGAAUUACUGGGCGUAAAGCGUGCGCAGGCGGUCUUGUAAGUCAGAUGUGAAAUCCCCGGGCUUAACCUGGGAAUGGCAUUUGGGACUGCAAGGCUUGAGUGCGGCAGAGGAGACUGGAAUUCCUGGUGUAGCAGUGAAAUGCGUAGAUAUCAGGAGGAACACCGAUGGCGAAGGCAGGUCUCUGGGCUGACACUGACGCUCAUGCACGAAAGCGUGGGGAGCAAACAGG